UAAAGCGAGUGAAGCGGCAACAGCUCAAAUUUGAAAGCCCGCGGGCGUUGUAAUUUGCAGGCGGAUGUUUUGGGGCGGGCGCUGUCUACGUUCCUUGGAACAGGACGCCGCAGAGGGUGAGAGCCCCGUGCGAUGGCGCCUCCAACCGCGUAAAACUCCGCCGACGAGUCGAGUUGUUUGGGAAUGCAGCUCCAAGUGGGUGGUAAAUUCCAUCUAAAGCUAAAUACUGGCGAGAGACCGAUAGCGAACAAGUACAGUGAUGGAAAGAUGAAAAGCACUUUGAAAAGAGAGUGAAACAGCACGUGAAAUUGUUGAAAGGGAAGGGUAUGCGAUUAGCGGCCAGCAGGAGGUGCCUUCUCGUGAAAAGGCCGUGCACCGUCUUCGGACACCGUGCGCGGAGAUGGCGAGGGGGCGCCUGAGGUCUGCGACUCGAGGUUGCUGGCGUAAUGAUUGCAUACCACCCGUCUUGAAACACGGACCAGAA
rnacentral:rRNA from 1 species